GGGCAGCAAAAAAGUUAGAGCUGGCCCUGCUACCAAGACCUAAAAUCAGGGUUACUUAUUUUUCCUGACAGAAUGGAUGGCACCCAGAACACCAAAAGCAGUACAAAGAAUGUGGUUCCUGUUUUAGGCAAUUGCAGGGUCACCAAGUUGUCAGAGACACACAGUGCCCUGAAUUCAGGACUUGACAGGGUGCAGAAACUGAAAGGAAUUAUCCGUUCUAUUAUAGUUACUACUUACAUCAAAUCUUCCAGAGCUUCAUUUGUCACAAAUUAUUUCACUGCAGGACUGUGUUCAUGCUGCCACUCAGUGGUAGCAAAGAGAUAGCUCAUCUCUGUCUAUCGAUUCCAUCUGCAUGCAACAGCUGCAGAUAAAGGACUAGACACUCUUUAACCAGGUACUGCCUGAAUAAUGCAUUAGCUGUCGAAUCUCGGUGAUAUUCAAGUAAUGUG
rnacentral:lncRNA from 1 species